UACAGAGGGUGCGAGCGUUGUUCGGAAUUAUUGGGCGUAAAGGGUGCGUAGGCGGCCUUGUAAGUCCUGUGUGAAAUCCCCCGGCUCAACUGGGGAACUGCACAGGAGACUGCUUGGCUUGAGUUCGGGAGAGGGAAGCGGAAUUCCGGGUGUAGCGGUGAAAUGCGUAGAUAUCGGGAGGAACACCAGUGGCGAAGGCGGCUUCCUGGCCUGUUCUUGACGCUGAGGCGCGAAAGCUAGGGGAGCAAACGGG
rnacentral:rRNA from 1 species